rnacentral:lncRNA from 10 species
UUUAUCAAGGGAACCAGUCUUCUCCUGGGUCAGAAUACACAGCAGGACAAAGUAAAGAGCUCUCAGUUACCUCUCCUGUUGCAGACCCAAGAUCUGGCUGAAGACAGUGGGGAAAGAGGAGAAGACAGAAGAGGAGAAGGAGGUGGAGGAAGAGGAGGAGGAGGAGGAGGAAGAAGCGGAGGAGGAGGAGGAAGAAGAAGCGGAGGAGGAGGAGACAGAGGAGGAGGGGGAGAAGGAACAGCGGCAGUGGUAGAGGUGGAAACCGUGGAUGGAUUUCUUCCCUCCUGUGCCUCUUCUUUGCACAAAUGGAUGUUCUGUCUUUUUCCAGAUCAUUCUUCCAGGUGCGGCCUCAGCUCCCUCUCCCUCGAAACCCAGUGGAUGAUUCUAACUUCCCGGUCACCUCUUCCUUUCCUACCAACCCCCCACUGCCACUCAGAAGCUGUCAGAAAACACAUUUAAGCAAACUAAAAAUAGCAAACCCAGAAUACUCCCCAGCAAGGAGAAAGAAGCUAAUCAUCUUCAAAGAAGCUGAAAGGAUUUCAAGAAUGGUGAAACAUUCACAAAUAUAGAAUUGUGUUGUAUAAGUUAACUGGCAAUGCUGUACCACCUUGUAAAAAUUCAGAUAACAGCUCAUGUGCCUGUAGUCCUGUACAGUUUAUAAAGCACCAAUGCACUUUAACUGCACAGCAUAUUAUGGCAUAGAUGCCAUUAUUAGGUCCAUUUUUACAGAGGCGAAAGCUGAGGCACACAGCAGUUGCAUGACUUCCCCACAAUUAGUCAAUAUGAGAAGUGAAGUCAGGUUUUCUAACUUAAGAGCCUGUGUUGUUUCCACUCUCCCACACAGCUAUUUGUUGAAUUAAAUUUUCAGAUCAAUGCA